rnacentral:tRNA from 1 species
AAACAGAGAGCGAAAAAUGAUUGCGAGCGGUUUCGGCCCGCUUAGUGGCAGAGUACGAGUCUGUCUUUGUUUU